CUACUAAUAUCUAAGCUUUGAUCGUCGACCGAGGUUGAUAGUUGAUAUCAAAUUUUGUGAGCUCCACUGCCCAUUUUGCUAUCCUCCCGAAAGCAUCCGCUCGAUGCAGAAUCGCCUUGAUCGGUUGGUCAGUGAGCAAUGUUAUGGUGUGCCUUUGAAAGUAAGGUCGGAGCCUUCGAGCUGUAAUCAAUAAGGCGUAAGUUAGUUUCUCUAACUUAGUGUAUCUGGUUUCGGCGUCUCUCAAUACUCAGCUUAUGUAGUAGAUCGACUGUUGAAUUUUUGUUUUUUCCUUAACCAG
rnacentral:lncRNA from 1 species